CCUGGUUCUCCAACAACCUUCAUCCUGGACAGUCAAUCAGAAACAGAAAUUACCCUCCAUUGGACGCCUCCUAGCCAGCCGAACGGCGUCCUCAUCGGAUAUCUACUGCAGUACCAGCAGGUUGUAGCGAGUGAUGACAGCCCCAUGCAGGUAGAGACAAUAGACGACACCAAAGUGACCCAUCGCACUGGAUCACCACAGCCACUACCGCUUCUACCUUAGGGGGCGCACGUCUGCAGGGGACGGGGAGCCCCUAAUGAGGGAGGGUGCCACGACGCUGGAUGGAGGACCUCCUGCCAACAUCAGCCUGUCUGUGGGGGAGAACUCAGUAAACCUCAGCUGGGUGGCCAAGAAAAGGCACAGGAACGUUAGCUUCCAGAUCCAAUACCAUUGAAAAAAAGGGUAUAAUUAACAUAUAAGUGCAUGUAGGGCUGUGCAUCUUCCCUGGUCUCACGAUUCAAUUACGAUUAUGAUUAUCCUGUCUACUAUUGGAUCCGAUCCGCAGUACACUACUCCUGCACCUCCAAAGGCCCAUCUCCUCCAUAAUCGAUAAGGCUGAGAUAUAGCUUGGCAUUUGCAAAGAGGAGGCACAUGAAAUGAUACAGCCAUUCUUUUUGGUUUUUAUGAUCACUCUGUGAUGCAUUUUUCAUCACCUCGGCUGUAGCUUCCAAGGUAACCUUCAUCAUUAACUUGGCAUGCUGGGCUCAGGUAGACACUGAGAUUUGGUUGUGGUUUCCAGCAAAUCUUCAUCAGACCUUGAGCAGGAUGCAGCUAAAUUAGGUGUUAGCUUUUUUUUAAUUUUAUUUACUGGACAAUUGAUAUUUUAGAUAAGCCUGUAUGUGUUUGCUCUGCAUUACUAGUAAUACAAAAAGAGCUUGUGUAGAAGUGCUUUUUACAUUUUUCAUUCUGUGAUUGACAUCCCGAAAAAGCUUCAGGGCUACAACUGUUCCUUUGAAUGUGACUGUGUUAACAAACAAAGGUGUUAACAUCGCUGAAUAAUUUCCUUCCUCUGUCAUAAAAAUGGUUUACUUUUUGAAAAACAGAGAUGGUGCCACUUUUUCUCCACAUUUCUGCCGCAGAAGGCGCCAUGACAUCAUCAAACAUAACAUCCUCUUACAUCCUUAACAUCCUACCAUUUCGUAGGGGAAGGAUUUCACCACUAGCCCUUGCAGCUCUGUUUGAAGGGGUUCAGUGGAGGGGUAGGGCUAAGUGGUAGGGCUAAGGGGUGAAAUGGGACUGAGCCCAUGUCUCAGAACUAAGGUAAGUGAGAACACUCACACAUCACUUGCAUUUUUGCACAAGGGUCCCCGAAUUAAUUAAUCUGGGUUUUUACCAUAAGCCACAAAUGCAUUGCAUCUGAUGUAGUCAAUGAUCAUUGAUCUAGCUUAUAUUUAUCUUUAUUUUUGACUACUUUCAAAUUUGUACUUUUUGAGAAAUACAUUGUCAAAGUCCAUAAUAAAGCACUAUAAUGAGUCUUUUGUUCUGACUGUCCAAUGCAAUGUUUUAAAUUGCCUUUUGUGCUGUGUUUUUCUUAGUUGAAACCAGUCAGCGUUAGAAAUGUAAAAAAAAACAAGGAUUAUCAGGCAACUUGUGAGUAAAAUAUCCUCUGUCACUUUUCAGGGAUCCAUUUGGACGAUGUGGUGGAGGCACUUGUCUUCUGCGAACACAGGUUGGAAAAGACGAUUAGAAGCUGGAUAGCAUAACAAUGUAAUUCAUACAAAUACAUUUGUGGCAGUCAUUUAAAAUUGUUUCAAAAAAUAAAGUUUGUUCGAUAAUAUAUAAAUAAAGCUAACAAUUUAAAUUG